rnacentral:misc_RNA from 1 species
GAUGAAUAACGCAGCGAAAUGCGAUAAGUAAUGUGAAUUGCAGAAUUCAGUGAAUCAUCGAAUCUUUGAACGCACAUUGCGCCCGCCAGUAUUCUGGCGGGCAUGCCUGUUCGAGCGUCAUUUCAACCAUCAAGCCCCAGGCUUGUGUUGGGGACCUGCGGCUGCCGCAGGCCCUGAAAACCAGUGGCGGGCUCGCUGUCACACCGGGCGUAGUAGAUUUUAUCUCGCUCAGGGCGUGCUGCGGGUUCCGGCCGUUAAAAAGCCUUUUUUACCCAAGGUUGACCUCGGAUCAGGUAGGAAGACCCGCUGAACUUAAGCAUAUCAAUAAGCGGAGGA